rnacentral:rRNA from 1 species
GACGAACGCUGGCGGCGUGCUUAACACAUGCAAGUCGAACGGAAAGGCCCUGCUUUUGUGGGGUGCUCGAGUGGCGAACGGGUGAGUAACACGUGAGUAACCUGCCCUUGACUUUGGGAUAACUUCAGGAAACUGGGGCUAAUACCGGAUAGGAGCUCCUGCUGCAUGGUGGGGGUUGGAAAGUUUCGGCGGUUGGGGAUGGACUCGCGGCUUAUCAGCCUGUUGGUGGGGUAGUGGCUUACCAAGGCUUUGACGGGUAGCCGGCCUGAGAGGGUGACCGGCCCCAUUGGGUCUGGGGAUCGGACCAAGAUCCUACGGGGAGCAACGGUGGGGGAUAUUGGACAAUGGGCGGAAGCCUGGAGCAGCAACGCCCGGUUCCGGAUUAGCGCCUUCAUGUUUUAAAACGCUUUUACCUUGUGCGGAGCCGGAGUGACGGUAAUGGGUAAAGAAACCCCGGCUAAGUACGUG